rnacentral:lncRNA from 1 species
ACAGGGGCUCUAGUGAGAGAGCAGGGACAGGUGAUCCCAGGCAGAAAUGAUGUGGCAUGUGACGAGGGAGGAACAAGGACAAAAAACGUUUCCAAAACAUCUGUUAGAGAGGAUGAAUGGAAGCACAAUGAGGAUACAAAGUAAAAAUAGAAGCAAUUAAUGUGAGAAAUGUCCUUUGAUCUCUUUAUAGAGAAACAAAAGCAACAUGCUUUAAAACCCUCUUCCACACAUCUCUCGCCUACAUUUUUCUCCUUGGACUGAAGCUUCCAUUCAUUUUCCAUCCUUCACUUUGCCAGAGAGACUAUGAAAGCCUUUCAAAAGCAGUCUUCAGUCUUGACUUUGAGCAAGAAUGCUACACAAUACUAAAUCUCCAACAUUCAACUCACUCCAGUCCUCACCUUAGUGAUGUUACUCUGAAAAACUUUAUGGAAAAAAAAAAUUCCAGCACCACUUUUUUUUUUUUAAAGCUUGUCAUUCAUUAGCAACAGAUUUUUUUUUUUUAAUUGUUACUUUGCCAGUGACCUGGAAGUCUCUGAAAUGGAAUGAAUUUCUGAAGUAGGAGGUCCACACACCAGAGUGAAGGUGGCAGUCUGGAAAUCAAAUUGUGCUGAAGUAGUUGCAAGUGAGUCCACCUCCAGCGAGAAACAAAUUGUUUGAACAAUAGAGUUAAUUAACUCGUGUUUAUAUCUUCCAUCACAGCAGGUGUGACGUCCCAGGGCACUGCUGAUACACCUGAGCUGAAAACCAGAGCUGCUUCUAGAAGACUGUGAAAAAUGACUGAAGCGUUAAAUAAGGCCAUGAUGGUACUGGUACCUACCCCUGCCUUCUGGGAAGACUCUGAAGGGAGGGAAAGUUUAGGGUCUCCUGGAGCUUUGUCUACUGUAUUUCUUUUCAUUUUAAAAGAGCAUUUAGUAUUAACAGAAGUGCAAUUUGGGUUGAUGUAUAAGGAGGACCCUCAGGUAUGUGCUGCUUCUAGAUGAUACGGGAAAUGCCGGGAAGGUGAGGGCUAACUGGUUUGAAGGGACGGAAACCCAAAUCAAAUUGAUCCCUUUCUCAUUUCUAAUCUGAUUGAGGAAACCCCUUGCUUGUACAAUAAAGCACACUUGGGAAAAUGCUUCAAGUGCUUUAUUGCAGUUUUAGUUCUCUGGUAAAUGGAAUUAAGCACUUUCCUCUCUUUGGAAAUUCUGUUAGAAGUUGGGCUUACCUUCAUGAAAUGUUCUUUUUCUUAGACUUUUCAAAUGUUUAUUGUAAUGUGCAUUACAUGUGGCAAUAAGAUGCCUAGAGACAGAUGCUACAGAGCACAGACAUAACUUCUUGCCUAGUGUUUUCAAGCUUGGUUUCAUCUAUUACUAGAUGGGAUGUGAAAUUGGCUUGGGUUUCCUCCACAUUUUAAAACCUCCAAUCUACUUAUUAUUAAUCUUACCGAUGAGGUGAACUGCAUUCUAGGUCAAUGACGUAACACUCAAUUAGUAGAGAAAUAGGUCUCCCCCACUCCCACCACACACCCAAUUUUUAUUUUCUGUCAGAAAUUUUGCAUCUCACUUAAAAUUUUGCUUAACUUGGGGGUAAAAAAUAUAAUUGAUAUCUGGAUCUUUUUGAAGAUUCAGGGGAAUUCAAGAGAGAAAAAUGGAAUGUCCUGUAGCUGUCUUACUAAAGACUCUGAUUAAAAUGCAGACCUAUAACAUGUAUUUUUAUACAUGAUUUAUUUAUCCAUCAGGAGUUAUCGAGGACUUUAUCACCAGCAGUGUGCUGAGUGCUGGCAAUACAAAGGGGAGUAAAGACAACCAUGAUGAGUUUGCAGUCGAAGGACAUCUGACCUGGUAAGUUUAUCUGUUCUGCUGUUUUGGGAAUGUGUUCAUGAAAUGUGACCUCAGGAAUAGAUUUCAUGAAGUUCCCUUAAACUAUCCCAGGUAACUGUCAGCCUUCUGAGAAUCAAGAGAUAUGUUGCAGGUUGGCUUCUCCCAGAAGCAGAUGCCCAGAUGGCAUUAAGAUGGUGAAGUUUUAUUGGGUAGUAACACCUGUGAAAGAAAAAGGGAGGAAGCCAGCUUGGUGGGGGGAGCCUUCAGUCUGCAAUGCAGAUCUGACAGGGUCUCUGCUGGCUCAUCCAGGAGCUCUGGAGCACAGACUGUCUGUUGGAGGGGCCCUGCAUUGGGUAGAAAUGGUUAAGUUUGAGGUUCUGGAGUGUGAGCUCAGAUUUUCCAAGGUGCCCUGGUGAACACAUAAGGGCCCUGCAGGAUAUUUUGAAUUUUCCAGGGAAACACAGUAACAUCUGUCAGAUACCCUACAAACUACUACUCUUUCCUAGUUUGGACCUGCCAAUUUAAUAGAAGGAACUGGGAGGCAAUUUUUUUUUGGCUUAGGGAGUGCCAUGAAAAAAUUACGCUGAGGGUGCCACAAACUGGCAAGGCUUGAGGACUUCUGGGCUAGGCCUUGUACCUUGGGACCUCAAGAAGGAUGUGAGCAUGGCUGUCAUUGCCUUGCUCAGUCAUUGACUGGGCCCAUCUGAGAAGAGUGUGACUUCAGUCUGAAGGCUGGGUGGUCCCUAGUGAAGCUGGGAACUGGAAGCGGUCCCACUAACCAGAGCUUAGCAUACUGCCCACAAAUGGAAUAUUCCACGAAUGUUGGGAAAAGGAAUGAAAACCCAUUGGCGGGGCCAGGGAAUCCUGAUCCCAAGCUACACUGAAGGAAUCAGCCAGAACUGUUCCCUACAUGGGCAAGGGUUGUGUGAGUAGCUCUUCAGAGGAAGUGGAGAUUUUAGAAAAAAAGCAGUGUCUGUGGUUGUUUCAGGGUAGAGGCAAUUUGUUCAGUUUGACUAAGGCUGGACCUCACCAUGGAGGGGAUGGGGGUGGGCAGCACCUUUUUCCAGCAGCCCAGCCAUUCGUAUUGGAUUCAGUUCCUCAGAUGUAAGCAGACACGGUCACCAGCGGAAUGAUUAGAGAGCUGCAGUUGGUGAUUCCAAACAAUUUUAUGGAGAAUGAGGAGCCGUUACACAAUUCUAAUAUCUGUGAUCCCCAGAGCCCUCCCAUCCGUUGACAACUCACUUCCCACUCACAAAUGUGUUAUCUGGGUCUUAAUGUGACUAUUAAGUCACUAGGCCCGGGCUUAUGAAUAAGCUUUCAUGUGUCAAGUACUGGAUCUCACUUGUGAGCUACUUCUUAUCUGGAUGAUAAAAAGCAAUUUCGGUAGCACUUAACUUAAUUGGUUUGUGACCAGACAAGGACUCUGGGUCCCACUUACAGAGCUAGGGCUACACAUGCCUUGGAAAUUCUAGAAAGCUGGUGUCUUGUAUGUUUGGAUAGGACAAUCACCCAUUAUUUCUGAGCCUGAAGGUGGGAAAAUUCUCUACGUGUUAAACAAGGUUUGUGGAACUUAAUCUAGCAAAUAAAUAACUGAAAGAAACUUCAGACAAUCAAAAGGCUGAGCUCUAUUUGAAAAAGCUGCCAGGUUCUCAUCUGGCCUGCUAUGUUGUCUUACUUUCAUUGCCUGUAUUUAGAGAGCUCUGUUUAUCCAUGUUUGCAUUUGCACCCUACUCCCAAGCUCCCCGUUUGAAAUUGUUUGGAAAUUUAAUUAUAAUUUAGUUACAAAUUUAAUUAAAAAUUUGAAAAUAUAAUUUUUUUUCUUUUUAGGGCCAUACCCACAGCACAUGGAAUUUCCCAAGCUGGGGGUAGAAUCAGAGCUACAGCUGCCAGCCUACAGCACAGCCACAGCAACGCCAGAUCCAAGCCACAUCACAUCUGUGACCUACAUGGCAAUGCUGGAUCCUCAACCCCAGUGAGUGAGGCCAGGGAUCAAACCUACAUUCUCAUGGAUACUGGUCGGGUUCAUUACUGCUGAGCCACAAUGAGACUCCAAAAACAUUAUGUUUUUUUUUUUAAAAAAAAACUGGACGUGUUCACUUGAUUGUCAUUCUGGUCAGAGGAGACUUCAUCCUUUCUUACUUUUGUGAACUGGGAUAUGAUAGAAAGAGCCCCCCUCCACCCUCACCUCCUCAUCACAUCAGCUGUGUCAUCAACUCAAUGUGUGAUCUCAGGCCUAUUCCUCCGUUAUCUUAGUUUCCUACAUGUAAAAUGAGGAGCGAGGAAAGGCCCUUUCAGCUUCUGGGAGUCUGAAUUCCAGAGCCCUACCUCCCAUGUACUUCCCACUCCCAGGGAGCUUCUUUUGAUCCCUGCCUGGGACAGAGCUCCCUUCCCCAGGCUGCUCUCCUCCUCAGGCCUUCUGUCUCCAUCCCCAGCUCUGGGCUCAGAUAAACGCUGCUCUGGAAGCUGCUGAGGUAACCAAAGCCUCUUCUCUGGAGGAGAAGAAAUUUGCUUUUCUGUCACCCACGGGAAUUUCUCAUCACCCCGAGGGAAGUGCUGGUGAUAAAUGCAAAAUAGCACAAGCGUCCUCUGCUCAGCUGGUGACACCUGACUGUUUUCUGUUGACUCUAGCCAGUGAUACUCAAGCUGCCUGUGGGAAAAAAAAAAUCUAUUUCUAUUUGAAAUGAUGGACAGUAAAUCAUAUGUCUGGUUUACAGUAGCUCAAGGCCAAAAGGAACUCUGCCCUUUAAUAGGAAAUACUAACCUAGGGCACACACACCAAUCUUUUGAGAGGAAACAACCCAUACAAGAGAAGGGGUGGGGCAGAGUUUGUGGCUUUGGUUAGCUUUUACUUGAAUGAGAGGCUAAUUAACAUAAAAAUUAAUUUUAUGUGGCUAUCAACCAGCCCAGAGUUUAUAUGCUCUAAGAGAAUUAUGGUAAUUAGUGCAUCCAGUCAGCACAACAAUACAAAUAUUCAGUGGCAUUUGUGAUUUCCAGCAGUGCCUCUGCUACCUGGGCAAUUCUCCUUCUGAGUAUCUGUUUCUCAAGAACAUGGUUUUUAAUAGCUUUGACUUGACAUUUAUGUCUUGAGCAAAACUGAAAUGGGCAGCUAAAGACUAAUUAUGCUAAAUAUUCCAACAAGCAUAAUUACCAGCAGUCCGGCAGGGGGCACCGAAAGCAACAUUUCAGUGUGUCUUUCUUUUUCUUUUUUUUCUUUUCUUCCUUUUUUUUUUUCCAAUUUAAAAAAACAAAAAACAAAAAACAAAAAAACCUUCUUUCCCCCUCCCCCAGCACCUUAUUCUAAACUUAUUUAAUGGAAGCUGAUUGCCCUAUUCUAUGAUUCCUUUUUUGCAUAAUCUGCACUCCAGCAACCUAGAAGCAUUUUUAUUUCAGCAUAAUUUUAAAUUUUGGUUUCUGCUCUGUUAGAUUCUUUCCAUUGACAGAAGAAGCAAAAUAUUGGCCGGAGAGCUCCAGCCGGGGAGGUUUUUGAGCAGAACCUUCUGAUUUGUUUUCAGGGCCUCUAUGCUGCACGCCACCCGGAGCCUGGCUUGGUGUCGGAGUUAAUUGCAGAGGGGAGGAGAAGGCAUGCACACACACUUGCAAAUUUGAUGUCUAUUAAGUCAACAGCAAAAGUGAGAAAUAAGCUUUUCACUAGCAAAUUCUAAUUAUAAUGAAAAAUUCCUAACAAUAUACACAGGAGAAAAACAGAUACAUAAGUACGGCUCUGUAAUUUCCUGAGGAUCAUAGUUGGCAGCAUUUGACUGCACAAGUCAAGGACCUUAUAGGCAAGAUUAUCUAGAAAAUCCCUUGCUUCAGAAGUCAAAAUCCUUUAAGUCUUCAGUAUUUAAAUGCAGCUGUAUUGCUGAUUAGAUGUCAGAACUAGAGCACACUGAAGUGCCCUGUUUAGUGAUUAACUCAAUGGACCAAUUUUGCUUUCAGAUACUUCUACCAGAGGAAAAAUUUGCAUACAAAUUUGGAAAGAACUAUCAUCUUUCUGGGUUAUGCAGGGACUGGGGGAUGCAAAACUUGUGAAUGCCACAAUAAUCCAGUUCCGCAAUUGUCUUCUCUCUAAUUUAAUCUCUUAGUGAAUUAUCUUUAUCACCGAGUGUUUGGCAGAGCCACAGGAGGGCUGCUAGAAUCUAAUCUUUUCUCUUUCUCUCUUUUUUUUUUUUCCCAGUGAUUUAUUGAUUAGUAUCCCCGCUCUGCCUGCUGUGUAGGAAUUAGCACUCAGAGAGGGCUUUCAUCCCUGUACCAUGGAUUUAAAUCUUUGCAAUAUGUUGGGGGUUCCCUGGCAGAUAGGUAUGUGACUUUUUUUGCUUUUAUGAUUAUAAUUGAUCCACCUAAUACAUCAUAAAUUUGAGGUAUAAUCUGAGUGCUCCUCACCAUAUGGAGAAAUUCCUGUAUCUCUCAGCUCAAAUUCUCCCUCCUUCCUGGCUCCCCUGGGCCAGGUAGACAGGGCCUCCUCUGCCAUCCCAUAGUACGUGGGCAGCUGAAGGCCAGGGAUGGGGUGUGAGGUGGUUUAACUGUGCAGCCUAUUCUGUGUUAGCCAACAUGGGCAUUGGAUCGUGAUACAGGAACAUGUUCUUCCCGUUGUGGCUCAGCAGAAAUGAAUCUGACUAGCAUCCAUGAGGACGCAGGUUCAAUCCCUGGCCUUGCUCAGUGGGUUAAGGAUCUGGCAUUGCUGAGAGCUGUGGUGUAGGUCGCAGACAUUGCUCAGAUCGGGCAAUGCUGUGGCUGUGGCUGUGGUGUAGGUCGGGAGUUACAGCUUGGAUUCAACCUCUAGCCUGGGAACCUCCACAUGCUGCA